UGCCCACCAGCUGUAUAUAACUCGCCAUUUUUCCUGAAUAAACAGAAGUAGACAGAAGAAGACAACAUCAUCUGCACCUCCUAUUGUGUGUGCAUGUGUUUGUCCCAUCUCUCACUCCUUCCCCCAGGGAACCUGUUCGACUGUCCCGCGGGUUGGGACACCCAUCUGAGGUGGGAGUGCUGAACGAUCAGACACAAUACUCAGAAGCUCUGUGCCAGGAACUGGGGACAAAGACCAAACAUACCGUCACACUUUCAUAUCUAAGGUUCCUGCAUAAGCAGAUCCAAACAACCAGGGAUGAAGCUGGGCCAAGCCAAUUGUUACGAAUUGGGGGAGAGGUGACUCCUUAUAAGAGAGAUGCUGAAGAAUGAUGGGACAGGUUCCCAAAGAUGAGCUCUUUAAAGUUCAAAGCUAACUAAGAUGAUGGGACCCUGGAUCAGAUAUAGAGAGUGAGAGAGAAAGACAAGAACACAGCUCAAAGUCUCACGCCAUGCUCCCCAUGCACCUCAGCCUUUGUGCAGCCAAGACGACCUGCGUGUGUGUGUGUGCCCCUGGCUUGUACAAGUUGAUCCAGGAACAAAACCCUGAUCUUCCAUAUGGCUUCCAGCAUUAUGGAGUACAGCAUAUUACCGUUGCAUCACCAUGGAUGGGCAAUUUCCCUUUUAUAGAGCCUUUCACUUCAUCGACUUUGGGGACCUGAAUGAUCUGGAAUCUUGUCCUGUUUUGCCCUGGAUGUGUGAUCACCAGCCAGUCACUUCACGGCACAGGCCCUGGGUAUCAUCUGUACAGGAAGAGCUUAGACUAGGUCACUUUGCGAUCUCUCCAGCUUUAUCAUUUGGAUGAUAGGAGUUGAUGUGGCAGAUCUCCUGAAAGAACAUUCCCUGGGUUUGAGAAGCCUGUCCUAAUGUGACCACAGAUGUUAUGGACUUGGGAAAACCUCUUUUCAAAAGCUCCUGAAAGACAAAAGCAUACUCACAGGCUCUCAGGGCAUGGUGUCCUCACUAGGUCCUUUGGUCGCACAACCCUCCCUGUGGGUGUUUCCGGGGCUCUGCUGUGGAAUGCACACCCACCGCAUCCCCACAGCAGGGGCUGGUUCCACAUGGAAUCAUGAAACCAUCAGCAGCAGCAUUAUUUAUGAAGAGAACUGAGUUCAACAAUUUUUAACCCAAUUAGCCAGAAAUUGGCCUUCUCACUUUUCCUGGUUGCAUUAAUGUUAAAAUUCUUUGUUUUAUUUUUGGAAACUUUGUGUGUGUUAUGGUCUUUAGAGAAAUACACAUAUUAAAAAAAAUACAAAUCAAAUGUCACAUCCUGUAAAUACACCAUAACUGAUUAUGUUAAAUGUUUUUUUAUUCAAGCAGUUGGAUUUAG